CAAAUGGUCCGGUCUUUGCGGGCUGCGGGCGGCUGGGUUGGCCAGAAGGGGGCGGUACGAGCUCGCCCUGUCUUGGCGCUUUUACCAAUGGCCAGGCUCUGCGGGCGAAGCUUCCAUCUCUCGCAUCGGGAAUAAAACUCGCACCCUUUGCGUUCGAGUAAGAAAGCGACGCAUCCUCCGGCUCUGGCACGAGCUGUGAAUGGGGGAGGGCGGGCGCACGUGGAGAGUGUUUACAAACAGCCUCCGCCACCGCCCUCCGGAAGGAGUGACAGUAUCCGCGCCUCCCAAAGCCCCCUCUGGGGAGCCGCGUGCCCACCUACCCCGCAGGCUGCCCGCCAGAAAUGGACAAGAAGCAGCCGGAAUCCUGAGGCACGUUGUAACCAGGGAAUUGCAUUUUGCUAAAGACUGGAUUUAUUGUUUCCACGGAGAUACUUGCAGCGUCGCCAGAACCUUCCCUGGAUAAGGGAGCGGUUGCACCUUCAUCCUGCAGCACCUGUUUACGGAGGAAACGCAGUUUGCCUGCCUGUGCCCGACCCCUGGUAAAAUAGUGUGAAAAGUGCAAGAGUCUUCUGUUAAGAUUUUUUUUCCCCCCCAACAUCCGUGCGUAAGUAUCGAACCUCUGCGUUAACACAAAGUAACGUAGUAUCUCGUCAUGUAUUUGACCAGGCAACAUUGUUGCUAGAAUUUCGGAACUCACCGACGGAAAUUCAACUGAGCAUUCCUACUGCAGAAAAGAGAUGUUGGUUCCCAGUCUUUUGACUCCCACGCCGAAACUGCACAAUUGCCUUCUUCAGAAUAGCAGCUUUACACUCUCUGGCGCGACAGAAAUUCACUCAUCUUCUACGUCGAAAGUGAGGCUAUAAGUGGCUUUUGACAAAUAUCUGCUUUUCCUAAAGAUAGACCUCCCUUCGACCCCCCUCCCCCAAUCCGACUCCCACUUAGCUUCCAACCAACCAGUCCUAUUCUGGCAAUUCUCCUUGGCUAUUUUGGGUAAAGUCUAACUUUAUAGUAGUUUUAUGUCAUAUUUUUUAAAGUUUUCUUUUCCCUGCUAUUUGUAAGGAGCGUGAAAGACUUUUAUCUGAUCAUUCCUCAUAAGGGAAGAGCGCUGACUUUCAGACUGCCAAUCAUGUGGAAAUGAGGCAGCAAGCAAGCAGAUGUCACCUUCCUGGCAUUCCCCUCACCCUCCAGCCUAUGGGGUCACUCUGUCCUAUGAUAUUUAAAUAAAAAUAAAUUUGCCAUUUAUCCACAUCC